CUGGAGGGGGCGGCUUCCUAGCCUGCAGCGUCCCUGGAGUCUGCUCUGACUCUGGACCUGGGGACAGGAGCCAGGCAGGAGGUCAGCAGCCUCCUAGGACAGCAGGAGGGCCCAGGCCAGUGCCUAGCAGACUUCUGCUGGAGUGGGGUCCCCGGGGCAGGGAGAUAAUGAUUUCUAGAAGUGUCUGUGUCUCUGAGUGUGCAAGUUUGUCCAAACUGUCCACCAGGUGUGAUUAGAGCCUGGAGACACAGGCCCCAUCCUUCCCAAUGGGGACACUUCAGGGAGCGGCUCUCAGGUCCCGAGAAAGACCUUCCUGGCCACAGGAGACACACGGACAUCGGGAACGGACGGAGGAAGGAUGUGCAGUUGCAGCCUUUUCAGCAGACGCCCUGAGAACGGGAGGUCAAGAGUUGGAGCAGACGGUCAGUUCUGACAGGGCCUCAGACCUAAGGCAGGAGCACCCCCUAUGCCAGACCUCCUGGGUCACAGGAUAUGCACGGACAUUGGGAAGGGAUGGAGGAUGGACGGAGGAAGGACGUGCAGUUGCAGCUCUUUCUGCAGAUGCCCUGAGAGAGGAGCAAGAAGGUCCUCGCCAGAUGCUCCUGGACUUGCUUUGGACUUUCCCUUGCUCUUGGACUUGCUCUGGCACCUGUGCUCUUGGACUUCACAGCCUCUAGAACUGUGAGAAAUAAAUUUCCGUUCAGUAU
rnacentral:lncRNA from 1 species